rnacentral:lncRNA from 1 species
CCUGGAAGUAGGUGUGCAAACCCAAGUCAAAGUCCCUGUCGGCAGCCAUGGCGCUUUGAGAGACUGAGCCUCCAGGACCCCUGGCUUAAAUGGCUUGAGGGCAAGGAUCUGGAUGUACCACCUCCUCACGACUAAAUGCAACAGACGGCAGGAUUUCAACCAAAGAAAAGUGAGUACUGUGGACCAGGUGGCUGGACAAACGCAUGACAAGGACCAGCUUAUCGCACGAUGCCAUAGGUACGAGCCAAAUGGAGGUGAUCCUGUAACCGGAGGGGGCCUGUUGAAGUGGGAGCCGCCAACACUGUGGUUGGAGUGCACUGCACUGUGCGGGCACAGCCUUUUGGGGACCGCGUGCUCUACUCGCCCCUGCUGCCAGAGUGCCGCCUGGCUUGUCCGGCGUGUUAGCUGGGUGAUCUUUAACUUAUUCCUGAUUUUGUUCCAGAUCACAGGUCUAAAAAAAGGACACUGGAGACAGAAGGAUAAUGUUGGGUUUUGUUUUAUUUCCAAGGAAUGCAGACCUCUUCCUCUGUGGGCAGUGAGGGUGAAGGCCUGGUCAUCCCGAUCCCAGGGCCCGGGUACGCCGGGUCUGGGCUGUCGCUUUCAUAAGAUGGGGUGGCCGGGCUUCGGCCGCCCCUGCCCUCUCCUGCAGCAGCCUCUUGAUCUUAGCGGUAUUGGAGAUGGGUUGGGUGGGAGGUGUGAGGUUAAGAUGUUCAUGGCCCUGUGGACUCGGUUCUGACGGGGUCCUGGCGUCCAGCCACCAUGAGGACGCACAAGACUUGAGCUCCUCUUUCACCAUUUGUUCUGCAAGAUGCCAGGAAGGGGGAUCAUCUCGCCAGGCAGUUUAUUUUUGAAGGUGAUGUGUUUGUAGAUUUUAGUCAGUGACGUGAGUCUUGGUUGAAUUCUCAUCCCUGCAAAGUCUCUCCAUCUAAGGCAGGCCUGCUUUUCCAUACACUGCAUCCAGACUGUGGAGUCUCCUCCCCAGUGUAUGCACAAGCACCGAGGCGCCCCGCUCACCCCUGAGCGGCUUAGCUCUCUCGGGAAGGCAGUUGGCGAAUAAUCCUUGUAGCUACUGUUCUUGGCGAGCCUUGUAGAAAAACCUUAUUUUUAUUUUGCCCGGCUUUUUUCUUGCCGCCCUGGGAAUGAAGGUCUUUCACGCCCUCCUACGUUCUAGCAGAAUUCUAACUCAUGUGAAGUUCAUUUCCAACUUUAUAGGUUUCAGUCCCAACCGUGAAACUUUUAUAUGUGGAAUAUAAUUAUAUAUAUGUGUGUGUGUAUGUGUGUAUAUAUAUAUAUGUGCCAUGUAUAUGUAUGUAUAUAUACAUAUAUAUGUAUAUAUAUGUAUACACACAUAUAUGUAUAUGCAUAUGUAUAUGUAUAUAUACACGUAUACAUAUAUGUGUGUAUACAUACGUAUAUACACACACACACACACACACACACACACAUAUAUAUGGCAGUAUAGCCUUGGGCAAAAUCUGUUUCCUUGAGCAUCUGUCUCCUUAUCUCUAACUAGGAAUCCUAACGUAUACCUCCUGGGAUCGUUUUAAGAAUCUAUGGAAAUGCUUUGGAAGUUAGGAAAUGAAUAUGUCCGCCGGUCAUCGUGUGCUUAGGAAAGUCGUCUCCCAUCUCCCACUUCCAGGCCUCUGUUUCCUUGUCUGCACGGUGAUGGACGUGCUGAAAUGGAUGUCUUUACAUCCGCAUCCCAGCUCUCUAAGCCACACACUGUGGCAACGGUGGCCAUGUUGGCAGACAGAUGCAGGGCUCUCGGCAAGGCUGACCUGCCCAUCAGGGCUCCGAAACAGGGCGGCCUAGUCAGCUACUGAAGGCUGUCAGCAUCGGUGAACACACUUGCUCUAACAGGCACAGAUUACAAAAUACGCCAUUAUGUAGGCGGGUUGGAGACACUUCUGUGUGCCUGGUGUUUGUGUGUACUAGACUUGUUUCCUUCCGGGACUCUGUUGGAGCUGUAGCUCUCUCUGAUUGUUUUAUAGAAUUCCUUUUCCCUUCUGAGGAUAGGAUGGGGGUUACAGACUCUUUAGUGGUUCAUGGAAUCAAUAUCUUCCAUAAAUGUAGGUUUUCCUUGGUGAAGACACAUGAAAAAGCCAGUCUCUUAACAAGUUCACAAUUCCAGGUUGAUACUGGAGUUGUUUUCAUGCAAGUAGCCCAUCAUUAUUUCAACCUGGGCUGAGCUGAAUUUUGCCUUUGAACUAUUUAUGGAAAGCGGGCUUGUGAAAUAAAUAUAAAUCAAGAUUUUUCUUUCCACGUAAGCAUGUACAAUGCAGUACAGUUUGUAAGAACUGUCACAUUGUUUUGUGAAUGAAGUGCACAGCAGGUUUAAACCUCUGGGAAAAAACCCAAAACCAACCAUAUUUAAGAACUUUACCAAGUAAAGCAUGUAUUAUGGAUGCCAGCAAUCAUUAAUACAUAUGACAUUAAAAGAGCUGUGUCCACCCGUUUGUGACUUACGUGUUUGAAAAUGAUAAAACUGCAUUACUUUAAAAAACAUUGCAUAAUUUAAGUAUCUUACUCAUGGAGACUGGCCUUCCCUGCAAUUAAUCCAAAUUAAGAGGUCUACAGGAAGGGUAAUAGGCUGGGGUGGGGUGGGGGGUACCUUGUUACAAGAGAGAAACCGUUGGUAAACUCACCGCCUCCCCUGAGGGGCCCCAUAAGAAAGUAGGAUUUGUAUAUUGUGGCUAAUAAAUCUCCAAACUCUAGCCAAUGACCCAUUUAUGUUUGGUAAUAUCAAUAUAAGUUCCAUAAUAAUUUCAUUUAUUUUCAUUAAAAUAGUUUCCAACAUAAGCAGAAAAGCCAGGCAGUCCUCUGGCGUGUGUAUCAGCCACCUGCUUGUAUAUCAUUCUCAGCAUUCGGUGAGCGGGCACUUGAGUGGCCCGAUAAUGGUUAAUAUUCAUCAAAGAACUAAGUGCAUCCGAGGGAGGAGAAAAAUCCGUGGUUGUCAAUACCUGUGUAUGGCUCAUUCUUGACAGUUGAUGCAUUUUGGUAGUGAGGAAACGCUUAGAUAAUGGAACCUGUAGCAAAACCUCAGGCAAAAGCUGCAUUGUUACUGUUGCAUCCAAACUUCAGACGUAAGAGCAGUGGGUGGUCUGGUGCCCAUCUAAUUUCUGAUCACCUACUGUCCUGUCAGGGAAUUCUGAAGAUCAGUACCAGACCUGAAAGCCGUGUGACAGAAAGGAGGAGAACAAAGAAAAAACGAAAUCCAACUUGGUGUUCUCAAGUAACCGAGAUCUGUUUCUUUGUGCCAGGGAGGAUGGGUUGGAAGGAAAUCCUGUCGCCUGAGUGUUGACGUACAGUAAAACCUUGGUUCCCGAGCAUAAUUCGUUCCGGAAACAUGCUUCUAAUCCAAAGCACUUGUAUACUGAAGCGAAUUUCCCCAUAAGAAAUAAUGAAAACUCAGAGGAUUUGUUGCACAACCCAAAAACAUUCAUAUAAAAAUGAUUACAAUACUGUAAUAUAAUGCAAAAUAGUAAAGAAAAUACAAAGAAAAAUAACCUGUACUUACCUAGUUCUACCUUUGAAGACCUUCGUGGCUGGUAUGAGGGAGACAGAAGAGAGGAGGGUUAUUGUGUAGGACAACUUUCACGAUCACCAACGG